rnacentral:lncRNA from 12 species
AGCAGAUCUGAGCACCCCACGAGCAGCAGGAGCAGAUCUGAGCACCCCACGAGCAGCAGGAGCAGAUCUGAGCACCCCACGAGCAGCAGGAGCCGGGGUCCCGGCUGUGCCUCAGUCCCAGAGCCGAUUCCUCGCCCAGCCCCGCGCUGCCCUCAUUG